rnacentral:rRNA from 1 species
GACGAACGCUGGCGGCGUGCCUAAUACAUGCAAGUAGAACGCUGAAGAGAGGAGCUUGCUCUUCUUGGAUGAGUUGCGAACGGGUGAGUAACGCGUAGGUAACCUGCCUUGUAGCGGGGGAUAACUAUUGGAAACGAUAGCUAAUACCGCAUAACAAUGGAUGACACAUGUCAUUUAUUUGAAAGGGGCAAUUGCUCCACUACAAGAUGGACCUGCGUUGUAUUAGCUAGUAGGUGAGGUAAUGGCUCACCUAGGCGACGAUACAUAGCCGACCUGAGAGGGUGAUCGGCCACACUGGGACUGAGACACGGCCCAGACUCCUACGGGAGGCAGCAGUAGGGAAUCGUCGGCAAUAGGGGCAACCCUGACCGAGCAACGCCGAGUGAGUGAAGAAGGUUUUCGGAUCGUAAAGCUCUGUUGUAAGUCAAGAACGGGUGUGAGAGUGGAAAGUUCACACUGUGACGGUAGCUUACCAGAAAGGGACGGCUAACUACGUG